rnacentral:rRNA from 1 species
CAAUAGCGUAUAUUUAAGUUGUUGCAGUUAAAAAGCUCGUAGUUGGAUUUCGGUUAAGAGCGACCGGUCCGCCGUUUGGUGUGCACUGGUUGGUUUUAACUUCCUGUAGAGGACGUGCUCUGGGUUUAACGACCUGGACUCGGAGUCUACGUGGUUACUUUGAAAAAAUUAGAGUGUUCAAAGCGGGCUUACGCUUGAAUAUUUCAGCAUGGAAUAACACUAUAGGACUCCUGUCCUAUUUCGUUGGUCUCGGGACGGGAGUAAUGAUUAAGAGGAACAGUUGGGGGCAUUCGUAUUUCAUUGUCAGAGGUGAAAUUCUCGGAUUUAUGAAAGACGAACUUCUGCGAAAGCAUUUGCCAAGGAUGUUUNCAUUA